CGAAGGGCCAAGUGAGCUUUUCCCAUCACUUGGCGUCCGUCGUCGUCUGUCGUCCGUCGUCGUUAACUUUUACAAAAAUCUUCUCCUCUGAAACUACUGGGCCAAAUUAAACCAAACUUGGCCACAAUCAUCAUUGGGGUAUCUAGUUUAAAAAAUGUGUGGCGUGACCCGGCCAACCAACCAAGAUGGCCGCCAUGGCUAAAAAUAGAACAUAGGGGUAAAAUGCAGUUUUUGGCUUAUAACUCAAAAACCAAAGCAUUUAGAGCAAAUCUGACAUGGGGUAAAAUUGUUUAUCAGGUCAAGAUCUAUCUGCCUUCAAAUUUUCAGAUGAAUCCGACAACCCGUUGUUGGGUUGCUGCCCCCGAAAUUAGUAAUUUUAAGGAAAUUUUGCAGAUUUUGGUUAUUAUCUUGAAUAUUAUUAUAGAUAGAGAUAAACUGUAAACAGCAAUAAUGUUCAGCAAAAUAAGAUCUACAAAUAAGUCAAACAAGACCAAAAUUGUCAAUUGACCCCUUAAGGAGUUAUUGCUCUUUAUAGUCAAUUGUUAACAAUUUUCAUAAAUUUUUGUUAAUUUUUGUAAAUUUUUAGGAAAUAUUUUCCACUGUAAUUACUGGGCCAAGUUCAUUAUAGAUAGAGAUAAUUGUAGCAACAAGAAUAUUCAGUAAAGAAAGAUCUACAAACACAUCAC
rnacentral:lncRNA from 1 species